UCUUCUAUAAAAACUGCCUAGGCUUAGGCCAAUACCAAAGGGGGCAGAACCCAUGGAUUAAUUAUACGCCUAGCACUGUGUUGAAGAUCGAUGAGAGAUGAUUAUUCAAGGGGGUGGAUAACAUACACAGGUUUUUCGAUCGGCGGCGACGGGUGAGUGGUUUCCAUGCUAGGCUUGUCAAGUGAGCAGUCCUCAGCUGUUAACCUUUAUUUCGUUGUCUGUUCGACCUUGAAAACUUAUGGUUCAUAUGCAAAAAACAAAACCAAAAAGAAAAAAAACCCUAGUUGUUAUUGAUCUAAAUUAAGUGAACAAAGAUUAGCAUCAAAAUGAUCAACUUUCCAUGUGGUUAAGUUUUUUUUUUUUUUCAUUUUUAUAACACAAAGAAACAUAAUUAACUAGAGAAAAAUGAUUAUAUGUAACAUCAAACUACACCGCGAUCAAAUAUUAACUACCUAAAACUCCGAAAAGGGAGUUGAUCUCUCUCUCUCUCUCUCUCUCUCUCUCUCUCUCUCUGUCUCUCUCUCUCUCUCUCUCUCUCUCUCACAUCGUCGUGCCUUACUUAUUUUAGGUCUAAGUAGAGUAGUAGACUUGUAGCAUCGCGGGCAGUGUGUUAGUACUUAUGUCUAUGGGGGUAUCAACUAGCUAGUGUCUAUGGGUUACAGUGUUAACAUACAUAAAAGGAUUGUCAUCUUUGAACUUGUAAGCUUUUAGAUAGAUGAGUUAUUAGAUAGUCAUUGAUCCAAUAUAUAUGCAUGAUAUCAGAACAUACCAUAGUCGUUCUUGUGUUUGAAUCUUCCUUGCCAUAGAUGAGGUCCUCAUUGUUGAAUCUAUUUGGAAGGAUUGUUUUACAGAGUCAUCCAAUAUGCAUGUUACAGAUGUUCAAACAAACAACAUCUACCCAUCAAUGAUUAGAUGUAUUAUUCUUUUGUUUGAAUCUCUCCGCCUUGCACUAUAUAAGGAGGAUCUUCUGCUUCUUUAUGUAUGUUACAGAAGGAAUGUGUGUCAUCCAAUAGAUUUUUUUUUUAAUAGAUGCAUACAAUCUUAGAAGGAAAGUCAUUAUGUUUUUCGAGAAAAUCAUGGAUGGGUAGGUGCAAAACUUUCAAAAACCUUAUUUUUUUUUUCUCGGCGUAUGUCAAUAGUGUCAGAGUAGUUAUAUUUGAACCUCUAGUCAAAUAGAUGAAUGUACGUACACGGUGCUUACCACUGGACUACCACCCCACUUGUAAUGUAAUAGCCUGGACUCAUCCGUCCUCGACCUGUCUUUUGAGUGGUCCCGGAAACCUUUCAAAAGAUGAGAUAUAGAUUGUGUGCAAGUGUCUUGUACGUGGGAUCGAUGUGUAAGAUUAAGGUAGUAGUAGUAUAAUGUUAGUCCUAGCUAGUAAAUGUUUCUCCCAUGAAGAAUGAGGGAAUACCGGAAUUGUCAGGCAGGAGAUAUAUGUACAUACUCCUUUUGUCCCAAUUUAAAUGUCCCCUACUGUUCUGCGUGUCAUUUUCAAUUGUUUAUAUUUUUUAAUGUAUAUUACUAAAAAUAUCCAUUAUGGAUAUUAUUUUGAUAGAUCUCAAUUAUUUUUAUAAGACAAUAUUAAUUCUAAAAACAUAAAAAUUAAAAAUGGCACGCAGAACUGUAAUGGACACUUAAAUUGGAACCGAGGAAGAAGUAUAUAUAAGUGGGAACUCCUUGGUGGCUGGACAGUAGAAGAAGAAGAAGGAAGAUACAUUAAUUGCAACUCGAAAUCUCACAUGUUAUUUUAAUUCAAGGGGGUGGUAGGUGCUCCAACCGAAAGACUGAAGUUUCUAUAUAUAUAUAUCUAUAUAGAAAAGCCUCUCUUUUAAAAAAAAAUCAAAUCCAUUUCCAUUAUCUGACAACGCAAUCGUGUUUGAGAUGGCUAUGGAUAUAGAUUUUAUAUGCUAACUUUUGAUUUGCUGUAGAUUUGAUAUUUUAGAAGUAGAUAUUCCAUGUUUACUAUAUUUGUGGAAUUUAUGAUUAAACUAUAGGAAAAGAUAGCGGGUUUACUGCAAAAAAACUGAUAAUUCACUUCCAAAGUACUUACAGUCUAAAAUUUAAUUGAAAAGCAUCUCAAAUCCAGCUUCUCUACAUAUUAGAUUUUAGUAUUCCUUAUUUUAGUUUCCAGAAAUCCGUAGCUAAAAUCUCAAAAUCUAAUCCUAUAACUUUUCGUUAACACCCACUAUAUCAGUUUCGACUGCUACUUUUAAUCAAGGGGACGUAUUCUAUUACAAAUUGUGUGAAGGGGUCAGUCAAAAAAAUUCGUAUAGGAGAUGAAUGGAUAAGUGAAGAUGCUUUCAUACAUCGAGAGAUCUAUUCAAUAUCGUGUAUCAAGAAAUUAGCUAUCAUACAAAACGUCCAAAAAUAUAAAAACUCGAUGUAACCUACUAAAUACUAGUAACUUGUUUUCAUUAUAUCAUACUAAUUGUUUCUUACAAGUUACUUUUUUGAUGAAGUUGUGUUUUGAAUAAAACCUGGGGGCCCUAAACAAAGAUCGAUUAAAUUAUCUUAGUCUCUCCAUGAAUUGAAUAAUUUGAAUUAAACUGGAAUUUAUCUACUGAGAUCUACGCAGGAAAUCAGCGUACGGUAUACAUUAAAUUUUCUUUUUUUGAGCCAUGGACAGAACAAGUCUAAUUUUUUUUCAUAUUGGGUACUUUUUGAGAUCCUUUUUUCCCGGGGGUAGAUGGCAUGCAUGCAUGCUUGUGGGUAGGUAAGCAAGAAGCAAGAUCUAAUAAUGUUGGUACAGCAGGAGGGAGAUUAAAGGGGAUUUUGAACUAAGAUCUAAUGACCCCGGUUCGUUUUGGGAUUUUGAAUUUGGAGGUAAUGAGUAUAGAGAGAAAUAGAGUAAUAAUUAAAAAUAUGGGUAAUUUUUAAAAAUAGAUAGAGAGAAAAAUGAGAGUAAUAAUUGAAAAAAAUAGAAUAAUGAUUAGAAUUCAAAACCCUUAAACGAAGGGGACCUACAAAUGUUUCUCCCCUUGUCACAUAGGGAAAGUACAACUACCACCUGGCAUUUCUAUUUUUGUGAUGACGUCAUGCUGUAAUGGGGAGAAGUUUUCAGGUGCCGUGCGGGUACCGCACAUGUGGUACUCUAUUGGUGACGUGUUUUGGGCAAUCCAGAUUUUAGAGAGAAAGAAAAA